AACGAACGCUGGCGGCAUGCCUAACACAUGCAAGUCGAACGAGACCUCCGGGUCUAGUGGCGCACGGGUGCGUAACGCGUGGGAACCUGCCCUUAGGUUCGGAAUAACUCUCAGAAAGGGGUGCUAAUACCGGAUAAUGUCUUCGGACCAAAGAUUUAUCGCAUUUGGAUGGGCCCGCGUUGGAUUAGCUAGUUGGUAGGGUAAAAGCCUACCAAGGCGACGAUCCAUAGCUGGUCUGAGAGGAUGAUCAGCCACACUGGGACUGAGACACGGCCCAGACUCCUACGGGAGGCAGCAGUGGGGAAUAUUGGACAAUGGGCGAAAGCCUGAUCCAGCUAUGCCGCGUGAGUGAUGUAGGCCUUAGAGUUGUAAAGCUCUUUUACCCGGGAUGAUAAUGACAGUACCGGGAGAAUAAGCUCCGGCUAACUCCGUG
rnacentral:rRNA from 1 species